AGAGUUUGAUCAUGGCUCAGAACGAACGCUGGCGGCGUGGAUAAGACAUGCAAGUCGAGCGCUGAUUCAAGGGUAGCAAUAUUCUUGAGUCGGAGCGGCGCAAGGGUGCGUAACACGUGGGUAAUUUGCCAUGAAGUCUGGAAUAACUUGCUGAAAGGCGAGCUAAUGCCGGAUGUGAUUUUCGGGAAGCAUUUCCUGAAACUCAAAGUUGGGGACCGUAAGGCCUGACGCUUCUUGAUAAGCCCGCGGCCUAUCAGCUAGUUGGUGAGGUAACGGCUCACCAAGGCUAAGACGGGUAGCUGGUCUGAGAGGACGACCAGCCACACUGGAACUGAGACACGGUCCAGACACCUACGGGUGGCAGCAGUCGAGAAUUUUUCUCAAUGGGCGAAAGCCUGAAGGAGCGACGCCGCGUGGGGGAUGAAUGGCUUCGGCCCGUAAACCCCUGUCAUUUGCGAACAAACCUUACCGGUUAACAACCGGUGAGCUGAUAGUAGCGGAAGAGGAAGGGACGGCUAACUCUGUGCCAGCAGCCGCGGUAAUACAGAGGUCCCAAGCGUUGUUCGGAUUCACUGGGCGUAAAGGGUGCGUAGGUGGUGAGGUAAGUCGGAUGUGAAAUCUCCGGGCUCAACCCGGAAAUGGCAUUGGAAACUACCUUGCUGGAGGAUUUGAGGGGGGAUUGGAAUACUUGGUGUAGCAGUGAAAUGCGUAGAUAUCAAGUGGAACACCAGUGGCGAAGGCGAAUCCCUGGAAAAUACCUGACGCUGAGGCACGAAAGCUAGGGGAGCAAACAGGAUUAGAUACCCUAGUAGUCC
rnacentral:rRNA from 1 species